AACGCGAGCGAGGUGCGAGCCUUGGUGACAGCCUCUGUGACGGAUGACCUGUGCGUUACUGAUGUACCCGACUCGAAACUCAGGAGACAAAUGGGUCCCGGGCUGCAGAGGCACCUGACCAAACCCCGGUGGAAGAUGUUGCCUCUUAAUUGUGACUUUAACGCUUGUCUGAACCCAGCUUGUGUGGUCAGCGGUAGAUGGUUGGGGAGACGCAGCAAGGGCAUGGUGCCCAGCGUGGGUCUGGAGGUGGUUCCCCGUCCCUUUGGUUGUCCACGGCUCCGUGGGCAAAGUCCAGGCGGGAUGCGUGAGCGUUUCCCAUUGACUGCAGGAAUCCGCAGUCAACCGCGGUGUUGCUCGUGCGUCCAACUCUCCUGGCUCGCCCAGCCCUUGAAAAGGAAUUAAACGAAAACGAGGGGGAAAGGGGAAGAGUGAAGAACCAACACAAGGAAUUUCGCUCCACAAACACGGAAAUGUCUCAAACGUGCCACUGGCGUGUUGCAGCAGACAGCUUAAGCCGAGAGAAAAUUCUUUGGCAGUGACAUCAAUUCGGCAGAAAGGGAGGGGAGCGCUAUUUGGAGGAAGGAGGAACAUGCGGAGAAGCGGCUCUAUUACGUAUCGGGCCGUCCAGUGCCGAUCUCCCGCGGCGCUUGGCGCGGGGGCUAAAGCCGCGCAGAUGGCCCGGGCAGCAGGACCUCGUCGCGGAGAGGAAGACCCCGCUUAUGAUUUCUGCCCAAACGCAGCUCCCAGGAUUGAGCAGAAUCUGGAAAAUUACUGGAAAUCACAGAAGUUUGCGCUGAAGAGAGGGCCAGAGCUGAAGCAGCGUGGUUAGAGGUGGGGAGGGGAUAAAACCGAGCAAACAGUUGUAACUUGUGAUAAACUCUGGGAAGAAGAAAAAGCAAAUACCAGGAUUAACAGUGAAGCUCCCAAGCCUGAUUAAAAGAAGCGAAGCGUUUAAAGCGUCAAACUGGCAGGCAGAUUUUCCCCUCUUCUUUCCCAUGAAACUACCCACCGUGUUUGCUCUUUUUUUUCUUUUUCCGAUACUGCCAGUCCCUAGGAGCUGCAUUUUUCGGAUAACCUCCACCAUCGGUCAGGAGGGCUUUUCCCAGCCCCGGCCGAGCAGCAAGGGUGACGG